GCCGGGAUGGCGGAACUGGUAGACGCAUGGGGCUUAAAACCCCUGGUUUCCUUGAAACGUGAGGGUUCGAGCCCCUCUCCCGGCACCA
rnacentral:tRNA from 1 species